rnacentral:rRNA from 1 species
AUACCGAGAAAGAUAAUAACUACCCGGAGAACUGAAACAUCUAAGUACCUGGUGCUUACUAAAUUAGGGCCCGGAAGUAGCGGCGAGCGAACUUGGGAAAGAUUUUAGAUUGGUUGGGGCUGAUUACAGCUGUUCAAUACCAAGCCAAGGGAGGUGAUAGCCCUCUAUUAACGAAAAAAAGUAGGUCUCUUUGGCUGAAAAAGGGGGGACCGCCCUCCAGUGAGACGCAUGAACAAUCGAUAGUGAACAAGUACCGUGAGGGAAAGCUGAAAGAAAACCCCUAUCUGGGGAGUGAAAUAGAGCUAAAAUCUUUAAGUUUUCAAUCAAGGUGGUGUACCUUUUGCAUAAUGGGCUAACAACUUAAUGUGUGUAGCGAGCGUAACGCGAGGCACGCGUAGCGAAAGCGAGUCCGAUAAGGGCAUAUAGUUACAUGUGUUAAACCCGAAACCGGGUGAUCUAUCCGUGGGCAGGCUAAAGGGAGUCUGAAGGGCCGCACCCUAGGAUGUGGCAAAAUCCAGGGAAGACCUGCGGAUAGGGGUGAAAGGCCAAUCAAACUCGGAAAUAGCUGGUUUUCUGCGAAAUCUGUUUUAGCAGAGCGCUGCAAUCUUAUGGGGGUAGGGCUCUGGGUUCUCGAUGGGGGCGUUGGCUUUACUGACAGUGCUUAAACUACGAAUACCUUAUGCAGCAGACAGGCUGCGGGUGAUAAGAUCCGUGGCCAAGAGGGAAACAGCCCAGAUCGUAGGAUAAGGUUCUUAAUAAUGACUAAGUUAAAGGCGGCUUCGGCGAAAACAACCCUAGCGGUGGGCUUAGAAGCAGCCAUCCGUUAAAGAUAUCGUUAAAGAUUAUGGGACUAGCCACGUGUUGCCAAAAAUUUUUGGAGAUGGAGUCAUUAACCGAAGCCACGACUGCGCUUCACGCGCGGGGUAGCAGAAUGUUUAUAAUUGGUUGAAGCUGGCGCGAAAGCGCGCGUUGUAUAGACGGAGUGGACGAUUAUAAAGUAACAAUGUUAGCAUGAGUAACUAUAAUCUUCUGAGAACGGAGAUCACCGAAAAGCCCAAGGUUUGCUGCAAACGGACAUUCCUGGCAGCGUGACACGGUUCCUAAGAGACAGCCCGACAGGGUUGCUCGAUGGCA